GCAUACAGCCAUAUCACCCUGCAGCCCAAGACUGGUUGCCCACUGAAGCUAAGCAGGGCUGAGCCUGGUCAGUACCUGGAUGGGAGACCUCUUGGGAAAACUAGGUUGCUGCU
rnacentral:rRNA from 1 species